rnacentral:rRNA from 1 species
AACGUAGGAGACAAACGUUAUCCGGAGUUACUGGGCGUAAAGGGCGUGUAGGUGGUUUCGUAAGUCUGGCGUGAAAUAUCUCGGCUUAACCGAGGCAGGUCGUCGGAUACUGCGGAACUAGAGGACGGUAGAGGCGUGUGGAAUUCCGGGUGUAGUGGUGAAAUGCGUAGAGAUCCGGAGGAACACCAGUGGCGAAGGCGACACGCUGGGCCAGCACUGACGCUCAUGCACGAAAGCGUGGGGAGCAAACAGG